CCUACGGGAGGCAGCAGUGGGGAAUAUUGCGCAAUGGGCGAAAGCCUGACGCAGCGACGCCGCGUGAGGGAUGAAGGUCUUCGGAUUGUAAACCUCCGUCAGCAGGGAAGAACGGUCACUGUGCUAAUCAGCAGUGAAUUGACGGUACCUGCAAAGGAAGCACCGGCUAACUCCGUGCCAGCAGCCGAGGUAAUACGGAGGGUGCGAGCGUUAAUCGGAAUUACUGGGCGUAAAGCGCUCGUAGGCGGUAUGUCAAGUCAAGAGGGAAAACCCCGCGACAACGGUGGGAACUGCCUGUGAAACUGGCAAACUGGAGUGUGUGAGAGGUUAGGGGAAUUCGAGGUGUAGGGGUGAAAUCCGUAGAUAUCUGGAGGAACAUCAGUGGCGAAGGCGACUAUCUGGCACACAACUGACGCUGAGGAGCGAAAGCGUGGGUAGCAAACAGGAUUAGAUACCCUUGUAGUC
rnacentral:rRNA from 1 species